rnacentral:rRNA from 1 species
AAUAGAUACCCCGGUAGUCCUGGCUGUAAACGAUGUCGACUAGAUCGUAGCGGCUUGACGCCGUUAUGGUCGAAGCAAAAGUGCUAAGUCGACCGCCUGGGAAGUACGGUCGCAAGGCUAAAACUCAAAGGAAUUGACGGGGGCUCACACAAGCGGCGGAGCAUGCGGAUUAAUUCGAUGCAACGCGAAGAACCUUACCAAGGCUUGACAUGAACCGGUAAGACCUGGAAACAGGUCCCCCACUUGUGGUCGGUUUACAGGUGGUGCAUGGUUGUCGUCAGCUCGUGUCGUGAGAUGUUGGGUUAAGUCCCGCAACGAGCGCAACCCUCGUUCUAUGUUGCCAGCACGUGAUGGUGGGGACUCAUAGGAGACUGCCGGGGUCAACUCGGAGGAAGGUGGGGAUGACGUCAAAUCAUCAUGCCCCUUAUGUCUUGGGCUUCACGCAUGCUACAAUGGCCAGUAUAAAGGGCUGCGAUACCGCGAGGUGGAGCGAAUCCCAAAAAACUGGUCUCAGUUCGGAUUGGGGU